rnacentral:rRNA from 1 species
GCCAGACUCCUACGGGAGGCAGCAGUGAGGAAUAUUGGUCAAUGGACGAGAGUCUGGACCAGCCAAGUAGCGUGAAGGAUGACUGCCCUAUGGGUUGUAAACUUCUUUUAUAUGGGAAUAAAAUGUUCCACGUGUGGGAUUUUGUAUGUACCAUAUGAAUAAGGAUCGGCUAACUCCGUGCCAGCAGCCGCGGUAAUACGGAGGAUCCGAGCGUUAUCCGGAUUCAUUGGGUUUAAAGGGUGCGUAGGUUGUUUUAUAAGUUAGCGGUGAAAUACCGAUGCUCAACAUCGGGGCUGCCGCUAAUACUGUAGGACUAGAGAUCGGAUGCAGCAGGCGGAAUGUGUAGUGUAGCGGUGAAAUGCAUAGAUAUCACGCAGAACUCCGAUUGCGGAGGCAGCUUACUAAACUAUAACUGACACUGAAGCACGAAAGCGUGGGGAUCAAACAGGAUUAGAUACCCGCGUACUC